GGCAGUUCACAGGUGAUGUAUCCCGGAAUUGGGCUCCCUCCUCUCUGGUUCCAGUUGCAUCACCUAAAAACUGCA
rfam:Myotis davidii contig122283, whole genome shotgun sequence.